rnacentral:rRNA from 1 species
GAUGAACGCUGGCGGCGUGCCUAAUACAUGCAAGUCGAGCGAAUGGAUUAAGAGCUUGCUCUUAUGAAGUUAGCGGCGGACGGGUGAGUAACACGUGGGUAACCUGCCCAUAAGACUGGGAUAACUCCGGGAAACCGGGGCUAAUACCGGAUAACAUUUUGAACCGCAUGGUUCGAAAUUGAAAGGCGGCUUCGGCUGUCACUUAUGGAUGGACCCGCGUCGCAUUAGCUAGUUGGUGAGGUAACGGCUCACCAAGGCAACGAUGCGUAGCCGACCUGGGAGGGGGAGCGGCCACACUGGGACUUAGACACCGCCCAGACUCCUACGGUGGGCAGCAGUAGGGAAUCUUCCGCAAAGGGCGAAAGUCUAACGGAGCAACGCCGCGUGAGUGAUGAAGGCUUUCGGGUCGUAAAACGCUGUUGUUUGGGAAGAACAAGUGCUAAUUGAAUAAGCUGGCACCUUGACGGUACCUAACCAGAAAGCCACGGCUAACUACGUGCCAGCAGCCGCGGUAA